GCCGCCUUAGCUCAGUUGGCAGAGCAGCGUACUUGUAAUGCGCAGGUCGUCGGUUCGAUUCCGACAGGCGGCU
rnacentral:tRNA from 1 species